GUCCUUCUCACACUCACAUCUCCCAAACUGGAAUUGCUGCUCUGUGGUUCAUUCCCUUCCCAGUGCCCCUCCUCUCCUUCCAGCCAGACCCCCAGGGAGGCACCUCUCACUCCUGAGCUCAUUACUCAGAAAUCCUGGAAUGGAAACAGCUCUGGGAAGACACAGCCAGGAAAGCAAAGCAAGGCAACACAGCAGUAAUCAGUGAGGUGAUCUCUGAAAGCAAACAGGAGCUCCUGGGAUAUUUUCAGUUAGGUGGUUGGAGGAAAAUCUUUGGGCAGAGGCAACAAAAGUUGUCUUUUGCAACUUGAAUAAAUUCACUCUGCUCCUCACAGAAGGAUGGAGAAUGGGAGUCCAGGCGGUUGCUUCCCAGCUGGAGUGCAGAGGAGAGUCCUGGAUGCCCAAGGAAGUGCUCCACACACUUGAAAGACACACUGGAUCCAUGACAACUUCCCAGGCUGUUCCAAAGGACA